UGGCUCAGGACGAACGCUGGCGGCGUGCCUAACACAUGCAAGUCGAACGGACGAGGGGAGCUUGCUCCCCAAGUAGUGGCGGACGGGUGAGUAACACGUGAGCAACCUGCCCUUCGAGGGGGACAACAGCCGGAAACGGAUGCUAAUACCGCAUGACAUAUCCUUGAGGCAUCUCAGGGAUAUCAAAGAUUUAUCGCCGAAGGAUGGGCUCGCGUCUGAUUAGCUGGUUGGUGAGGUAACGGCUCACCAAGGCGACGAUCAGUAGCCGGACUGAGAGGUUGAAUGGCCACAUUGGGACUGAGAUACGGCCCAGACUCCUACGGGAGGCAGCAGUGGGGAAUAUUGGGCAAUGGGGGGCCAACCCUGACCCAGCAACGCCGCGUGAAGGAAGAAGGCUUUCGGGUUGUAAACUUCUUUGACGAGGGACGAUAAUGACGGUACCUCGAAAACAAGCCACGGCUAACUACGUGCCAGCAGCCGC
rnacentral:rRNA from 1 species